rnacentral:rRNA from 1 species
UAAGGAAUAUUGGUCAAUGGACGCAAGUCUGAACCAGCCAUGCCGCGUGAAGGAUGAAGGUCCUCUGGAUUGUAAACUUCUUUUAUCUGGGACGAAAACGGGAUUUUUAUCUCAAUUGACGGUACCAGAGGAAUAAGCACCGGCUAACUCCGCGCCAGCAGCCGCGGUAAUACGGAGGGUGCGAGCGUUAUCCGGAUUUACUGGGUUUAAAGGGUGCGUAGGUGGGCUUAUAAGUCAGUGGUGAAAUCUCCGAGCUUAACUUGGAAACUGCCGUUGNUACUAUAGGUCUUGAAUUAUCUGGAGGUAAGCGGAAUAUGUCAUGUAGCGGUGAAAUGCUUAGAUAUGACAUAGAACACCAAUUGCGAAGGCAGCUUACUACAUAUAAAUUGACGCUGAGGCACGAAAGCGUGGGGAUCAAACA